CAAUAGCGUAUUUUAAAAUUGUUGCGGUUAAAAGCUCGUAGUUGUAUUCCUACACAUAUAAUUGACUCAUGUUAAUUAAAUGUGUAUUUUGCACGGGGUAGUAAAUGCCUUUUAUUGGGCUAUUACAAUACUGCGUGCUCCUUUACCUUGAGGAAAUUAGAGUGUUCCAGGCAAGCAUGGUUUUGUAUACAAUAGCAUGGGAUAAUGUGUAAUGGUUUCGGCCGAAAGCGUGUGUGACGGCCGAAGCAAUUGUUAAAAGGGGUAUCUGGGGGCAUUCGUAUUGAGCUGUCAGAGGUGAAAUUCUUAGAUUUUCUUAAGACGAACAAGUGCGAAAGCAUUUGCCAAAGAUGUUUUCAUUGAUCAAGAACGAAAGUUAGGGGAUCGAAGAUGAUCAGAUACCAU
rnacentral:rRNA from 1 species